AUUGAACGCUGGCGGCAGGCCUAACACAUGCAAGUCGAGCGGAUGGAGGGAGCUUGCUCCUGGAUUCAGCGGCGGACGGGUGAGUAAUGCCUAGGAAUCUGCCUGGUAGUGGGGGAUAACGUCCGGAAACGGGCGCUAAUACCGCAUACGUCCUGAGGGAGAAAGUGGGGGAUCUUCGGACCUCACGCUAUCAGAUGAGCCUAGGUCGGAUUAGCUAGUUGGUGGGGUAAAGGCCUACCAAGGCGACGAUCCGUAACUGGUCUGAGAGGAUGAUCAGUCACACUGGAACUGAGACACGGUCCAGACUCCUACGGGAGGCAGCAGUGGGGAAUCUUGGACAAUGGGCGAAAGCCUGAUCCAGCCAUGCCGCGUGUGUGAAGAAGGUCUUCGGAUUGUAAAGCACUUUAAGUUGGGAGGAAGGGCAGUAAGUUAAUACCUUGCUGUUUUGACGUUACCAACAGAAUAAGCACCGGCUAACUUCGUG
rnacentral:rRNA from 1 species